GGAUGAGAUAGCAGAUGAGCAAUAUCUUUUUGGAGGUGAAAAGCUCACUGAAAUAGAAACUGACCAAUAUAGAUACAAGAAAGAGCUCUACGAUCUUGUGAUCAAAAGAACGCAUGAAGACGAUAAUGCUGAUGAGUAUAUAAUGCCAGAUGCUUAUGAUCAAGAUGGACG